GACGAACGCUGGCGGCGUGCCUAAUACAUGCAAGUAGAACGCACAGUUUAUACCGUAGCUUGCUACACCAUAGACUGUGAGUUGCGAACGGGUGAGUAACGCGUAGGUAACCUGCCUGGUAGCGGGGGAUAACUAUUGGAAACGAUAGCUAAUACCGCAUAAUAUUAAUUAUUGCAUGAUAAUUAAUUGAAAGGUGCAAUUGCACCACUACCAGAUGGACCUCAGUUGUAUUAGCUAGUAGGUGAGGUAACGGCUCACCUAGGCGACGAUACAUAGCCGACCUGCGAGGGUGAUCGGCCAAGCUGGGACUGAGACACGGCCCAGACUCCUACGGGAGGCAGCAGUAGGGAAUCUUCGGCAAUGGACGAAAGUCUGACCGAGCAACGCCGCGUGAGUGAAGAAGGUUUUCGGAUCGUAAAGCUCUGUUGUAAGAGAAGAACGGGUGUGAGAGUGGAAAGUGCACACUGUGACGGUAUCUUACCAGAAAGGGACGGCUAACUACGUG
rnacentral:rRNA from 1 species